rnacentral:rRNA from 1 species
AUUGAACGCUGGCGGCAUGCCUUACACAUGCAAGUCGAACGGCAGCGGGCCUUCGGGUGCCGGCGAGUGGCGAACGGGUGAGUAAUGCAUCGGAACGUGCCAUUGAGUGGGGGGAUAACGUAGCGAAAGUUACGCUAAUACCGCAUAUUCUGUGAGCAGGAAAGCAGGGGACCGCAAGGCCUUGCGCUCUUUGAGCGGCCGAUGUCAGAUUAGCUAGUUGGUGAGGUAAAGGCUUACCAAGGCGACGAUGUGUAGCGGGUCUGAGAGGAUGAUCCGCCACACUGGAACUGAGACACGGUCCAGACUCCUACGGGAGGCAGCAGUGGGGAAUUUUGGACAAUGGGCGCAAGCCUGAUCCAGCCAUGCCGCGUGAGUGAAGAAGGCCUU